UGUAAAAUGUAUACAAACCGCAUAGACGAGUAUAAGUGACAAAUUGUUAUUAUUAGAAAGUAAUUCAAGGUAACAUUUCGGUGUGUUUUGUGUUAAACUGACUUAAAACACUUAAUAAUUUUCAAAUGAAAACAUAUCUGACUGGAUAAUGGUCGUAAACAAACAUUUGGGAUGUGUAUUCUUCUUGCUCCUUCUUCGAGUAGAACUAUGUUUCGGACAAAGUUUUUCUGGAAACCAGUGGAACACACAACAGAUACUUGGGGUAGUAUUUGGUUGUAUAUCACUCAUUGGUCUACUAGUUACACUGAUAUGCUGUUGUAAAAACUGUCAUGAUAAGAAGAAAUUUGCUAGACAAGGUCCACAUCCAGAUGAAAGACAUUAUGAUCAAGGCUAUGAUCAAAGACAAGAUCGAGGACAUUCUAAUCAAAAUCAAGCUUACAGAAACGAACCAAGCGAAAAAAUGGGAUAUCUACAACAAGUAGAUUACUAUGGAGAUCGAUCCAGACCACCUCCAUACAGCUAUCAUUCACAACCACCUCGCAGUGGACUCGGGUAUUAUUAAUAAACGGUUCGUCGUUAUUGCUUCCAAAAAGGGGUCUGGUUUUAUUUAAAGGAGCUAGAUCACUAAUAUUCUGGACCUAGAAAUUGACACAAAUGGGUUACAACGCAUAUAAUAAUGUAAUAUUAAUGUAUAUAAACUGAUUUAUCACCCAAUAAUACAUUCUACAGUAGCUAUCGAUUGUGUGAUAAAUUCCUUGGGAGUUAUCGCUUUACAUGAAUUUGAUUGGUCAAUCAAAAAGGAACUACUUUUGUUAUUUUCAAAGAACAGUUCAUUUUUUUUAUUAAAAGUAAUUUCUUUCUUAUUAAAAAUGAACUAUUUUUAUUUAAUUGGCCUUGAUGGAAACACUGGGUCAAUAUAAAGGACUUUGCAAUGGUUAAUUCGCUGUCAAAAAUGAUGUAUCACUACGCCGUAAUGUAAUCAGGUUCAGUAGCAAAGAAUUAUAUUUAUUUAUUUAUCUGUGCAUGUAAGAAGGGUUUUUGUGAUAAAUAAAAUCUCCUACUCGUCUUUUUUGAUAUCAAAAAUAUCAACACUCGUCGAUAAGGUAAAAAAAAAAGCUCGACUUGUGUUGAUAUUUUUUGAGAUUCUCUAUUUACAUUCAAUCGUUUCUCGUUUUACUGUAAUUUCUAAUCAGUUAUGUUCGGCGAAAUACGUCAGAAGUCUCAGUUGAAUGACAAUAUCUAGUGACUGGUUAUUCCAACCUACACCGAUAGUAUUUAUUACGCAUGCUCUCCAGAUAAGAUUAUGGCGUCACCGUUUGACAUGACUUGUGGAAUAUGUCUAGCCUCUUUCUUCGAGUCCCUUGUUACAAAUGGUGGCGAAACGCAUUAUCGUGUACCAAUAGUAAAAAAUGUUUAUUUUGUCUUAAAUAGUGGAUAUCAGAGGCCCAUCUUUUCCCGGCAAGAUCACAACAUCAAAUUGAUAAAUAAUUCGUGUUUUCAAUGUCGAGGACUUUAGAUGGUAUUGAGUUAGAGACUUAGCUACUUUAAUAUUAUAUACAGUAUACAAAAACAUUUGAGGAUAAGUUAUUCGGUCCAAAUUAUUUCUCAAAAAGGCAUAAAAAUCAAACUUCUUAGGACUAUCUUUGGAUCACUAUAUGAAAUAACCUGAGACUUCAAUUACAUGAAUGUCAUGAAAUCAACAUUGACAUGCUUACAUCAACGUAUUUUACACGAUCACCAGAUCUAUAUCAGACAUUUUAUCUUAAAGAAGCGACAGAUUUUUUAUUAUUAAUCUGGGAAUAAACGUUGUAAUUGAAUUAAAAGUUGUUUAAGCACAUGUUGAUUAAAUAAAAUACACGUCA